UACGUAGGGGGCAAGCGUUGUCCGGAUUUAUUGGGCGUAAAGAGCGUGUAGGCGGCCAGGUAGGUCGGUUGUGAAAACUGGAGGCUUAACCUUCAGACGUCGACCGAAACCAUCUGGCUAGAGUCCGGAAGAGGAGAGUGGAAUUCCUGGUGUAGCGGUGAAAUGCGCAGAUAUCAGGAAGAACACCCGUGGCGAAGGCGGCUCUCUGGGACGGUACUGACGCUGAGACGCGAAAACGUGGGGGAGCGAACAGG
rnacentral:rRNA from 1 species